GGGGCUGUGGCAAAGCAGGUUAAUGCCCUGGCCUGAAGCGCCAGCAUCUCAUGUGGGUGCCAGUUCAAUACUUGGCUGCUCCA
rnacentral:tRNA from 1 species